rnacentral:rRNA from 1 species
GACGAACGCUGGCGGCGUGCUUAACACAUGCAAGUCGAACGGAAAGGCCCUGCUUUUGUGGUGUGCUCGAGUUGCGAACGGGUGAGUAACACGUGAGUAACCUGCCCUUUACUUUGGGAUAACUUCAGGAAACUGUGGCUAAUACCGGAUAGUAGCUCCUGCUGCAUGGUGUGUGUUGGAAAGUUUCGGCGGUUGGGGUUGCACUCGCGGCUUCUCAGCUUUUUGGUGGGGUAGUGGCUUACCAAGGCUUUGACGGGUAGCCGGCCUGAGAGGGUGACCGGCCACAGUGGGACUGAGAUAGGGCCAAGACGCCUACGGGAGGAAGCAGUGGGGAAUAGUGCAAAAUGGGCGGAAGCCUGAUGCAGCAACGCCGCGUGGGGGAUGACGGCCGUCGGGGUGUAAACCGCGUUCGCCUGUGACGAAGAGUGAGUGACGGUAAUGGGCAAAGAAGCAACGGCUAACUACGUG